UUCUCCCUUCUGAUGAACCAUGAUGUCAUUAAUUUGGUGUUGUGGGGAGUCAGGACUGUUACUUUGAAAAAAUUAGAGUGUUUAAAGCAGGCAAACGCUCGAAUACAUUAGCAUGGAAUAAUGAAAUAGGACGUUCGAACCUAUUUUGUUGGUUUCUAGGUACAACGUAAUGAUUAAUAGGGAUAGUUGGGGGCAUUAGUAUUCAAUUGUCAGAGGUGAAAUUCUUGGAUUUAUUGAAGACUAACUACUGCGAAAGCAUUUGCCAAGGAUGUUUUCAUUAAUCAAGAACGAAAGUUAGGGGAUCGAAGACGAUCAGAUACCGUCGUAGUCUUAACCAUAAACUAUGCCGACUAGGGAUCGGAUGAAGUUAAUUUUUUAAUGACUCAUUCGGCGCCUUACG
rnacentral:rRNA from 1 species